UACGUAGGGUGCGAGCGUUAAUCGGAAUUACUGGGCGUAAAGCGCGCGCAGGCGGCUUUGUAAGUCAGGUGUGAAAUCCCCGGGCUUAACCUGGGAAUGGCAUUUGGGACUGCAAGGCUUGAGUGCGGCAGAGGAGACUGGAAUUCCUGGUGUAGCAGUGAAAUGCGUAGAUAUCAGGAGGAAUACCGAUGGCGAAGGCAGGUCUCUGGGCUGACACUGACGCUCAUGCACGAAAGCGUGGGGAGCAAACAGG
rnacentral:rRNA from 1 species